UAUUAAGAGUCGUAUGAAGAAACUACCAUAUACAGACUGUUUUUGCAUUUCCUGUAGGCAUGGUGUUAAAAUUGGAAACUCCUUUCAUCAGGUGCUCACGCCCCUGCACCUGUCACCACACCUGUGUCCCGUGUCCUGCUUGCUAUCUCCAUGGAUGUCCCACAACACCUGGAAAAAUGAGAUGUGUUCAGAAUUCAAUGGGUAUCUUUCCCCCUCAAUCUAGUCUUCAGGCCUUUCCCAAUCCCUUUCUAUUGUAUUGGAUCAAAUCGGAUCUGAUUCACCACUUCCCAUCUAUCUGGCUCCUAGGUGAUUUCAUAACCCUUGUACUUUGGAAAUUUUUUUAAUGUGUUAAUAUAUUAUUUUUUAAGUAAAAGCUAAUUUUAAUGAAAGAAAAUGUACCUUUAUAGAAAAUGUGGGAAAUACAAAGAAGAAAAGUACACGUUCUUCAGCUCCAGCACUUGGGGAUGACUGCUGCGAGCAUUUUGUCACAGUGCUAGAGUGCCUAAGAGCCAGACUGGCUCUGUUAAGAGUCUGGCCCCACCAUCCCCACUCCUCUGUGUGACCCCGGACGUGCUGCCCAAGUCCCUGUGCCUUUAUGUAUUCUCUGAGAAGUGGGGGUAAUGAUAGUACCUGCCUCAGAAGACUUGGAGAGAGCUGUGUGAAUAAUGGGACGGGACACUGCCUGCCUUAUAGCAUCUAGUACAUCAUUGCUGCUGUUGUUAUUAUAAAAGUAUAUAUGUUAAUUGCUGAUAAACUGUGUAUACAGUUUAAUAUUCUACUACUUUUCAUUAACUACUGUAAGCAUUUUCCAAGUCUCAAAGCAUUCCCCAAAAACAUGAUCUUAAUGACUGUGUAAUAGUUUGUUAUUUAAAUAUAUUAAUAAUUUCUUCUGUAGUUGACUAUUCUAUUUUUGGGCAGUUGGGGUAUGUAUGUUUGCUCCAAUAACUCUGAGCUGAAAAUGUUUAUGUGUAUAUGUACAUAUAAAAGUGUCUGUGUGUGUCCGUAUCUUAAAAAAAAAAAGGAAAAGAAAAGAAAAGAAAGG
rnacentral:lncRNA from 12 species